UACGUAGGGCGCAAGCGUUGUCCGGAAUUAUUGGGCGUAAAGAGCUCGUAGGCGGCUUGUCACGUCGGGUGUGAAAGCCCGGGGCUUAACCCCGGGUCUGCAUUCGAUACGGGCUAGCUAGAGUGUGGUAGGGGAGAUCGGAAUUCCUGGUGUAGCGGUGGAAUGCGCAGAUAUCAGGAGGAACACCGAUGGCGAAGGCAGGUCUCUGGGCCACUACUGACGCUGAGAAGCGAAAGCAUGGGGAGCGAACAGG
rnacentral:rRNA from 1 species